GGGAUUGCCCCAGUAACGGCGAGUGAAGCGGCAACAGCUCAAAUUUGAAAUCUGGCCCUCGGGUCCGAGUUGUAAUUGGCAGAGGAUGCUUUUGGCGAGGGUCCUUCCAAGUUCCUUAGAAUAGGACGCCGCAGAGGGUGAGAGCCCCGUACGGUUGGCCCCCGAGCCUGUGUAAAGCUCCUUCAACGAGUCGAGUAGUUUGGGAAUGCUGCUCUAAUUGGGAGGUAAAUUUCUUCUAAAGCUAAAUACCGGCCAGAGACCGAUAGCGCACAAGUAGAGUGAUCGAAAGAUGAAAAGCACUUUGAAAAGAGGGUGAAACAGUACGUGAAAUUGUUGAAAGGGAAGCGCUUGUGACCAGACCUGCGCCCGGCGAAUCAUCCAGCCCCGGCUGGUGCACUUCUCCGGCGUAGGCCAGCACCGGUUUACCGCGGGGGAAAAAGACGGUGGGAAUGUGACUCCUUCUGGAGUGUUAUAGCCCGCCGUGUAAUGCCCUGGGGUGGACCGAGGUACGCGCUCUGCAAGGGUGCUGGCGUAAUGGUCAUCAGCGGCCCGUCUUGAAACACGGACCAAGGAGUCGUCCUCGUAUGCGAGUGUUCGGGUGUAAAACCCUUGCGCGUAAUGAAAGUGAACGUAGGUGAGAGCUUCGGCGCAUCAUCGACCGAUCCUGAUGUUCUCGGAUGGAUUUGAGUAAGAGCAUAUGGGGCCGGACCCGAAAGAAGGUGAACUAUGCGUGUGUAGGGUGAAGCCAGAGGAAACUCUGGUGGAGGCUCGCAGCGGUUCUGACGUGCAAAUCGAUCGUCAAACAUGCGCAUGGGGGCGAAAGACUAAUCGAACCUUCUAGUAGCUGGUUUCCGCCGAAGUUUCCCUCAGGAUAGCAGUGUUGAGCUCAGUUUUAUGAGGUAAAGCGAAUGAUUAGGGACUCGGGGGCGCUAUUUAGCCUUCAUCCAUUCUCAAACUUUAAAUAUGUAAGAAGCCCUUGUUACUUAAUGAACG
rnacentral:rRNA from 1 species